UAGGGAAUCUUCGGCAAUGGACGAAAGUCUGACCGAGCAACGCCGCGUGAGUGAAGAAGGUUUUCGGAUCGUAAAACUCUGUUGUUAGAGAAGAACAAGGACGUUAGUAACUGAACGUCCCCUGACGGUAUCUAACCAGAAAGCCACGGCUAACUUCGUGCCAGCAGCCGCGGUAAUACGUAGGUGGCAAGCGUUGUCCGGAUUUAUUGGGCGUAAAGCGAGCGCAGGCGGUUUCUUAAGUCUGAUGUGAAAGCCCCCGGCUCAACCGGGGAGGGUCAUUGGAAACUGGGAGACUUGAGUGCAGAAGAGGAGAGUGGAAUUCCAUGUGUAGCGGUGAAAUGCGUAGAUAUAUGGAGGAACACCAGUGGCGAAGGCGGCCCCCUGGACAAAGACUGACGCUCAGGUGCGAAAGCGUGGGGAGCAAACAGG
rnacentral:rRNA from 1 species